GGGGGGGGGUCUCUCCAACUCUGGGACGUGUCCAGCAAUCCAAACCUGUCCUUCUUUUGUUCCUACAAAUCUCUUCAUACUGUCACCACCCUCUGGAGUCUGCCUUUCUCCCAGUAACUAGGGGAUAAGGGAGGAAGGGGAGGAGGAUCCUGAACUCACCCCACCCCUCAAUUCCAGGGAAAGGAGGGAGGGGGAGAAAAGGGAGAAAAAAAUUUAAAUCCACCCCCCCUCAUUAGCCAGAAAGGAAGCGAAGGGGAUAAUUAUAAUUAAAAGCAGACAGCUGUGGAUUGCAUCUUUUAUGUUCCUCCAAGCUUCCUCCCCACUUCUGCCACCAUCACCCAAAAAUUUGCACAACCCCCUGUGUAUCUUCCCCCUGGUUUCCUUCGAGUGGCGAGUGUGCCAGGAGACUAAGGCAUGAGGGGCAUGUUUGGGGAAGAGGACUCCACUUCCUCUCCCAUAGGCAGCGCCUUCUGAAACAUCUCAGUAGGCCUAAGAGAUGGGGGCUUCCUGUUCCUACCCACCAGCCUGUACCCCAAGGUGUAGGAUUGUAAGAGGUGGGGGAAUCCAGGUGAUAAUAACAAAUUCAAUAAUUUGGGGAAGUCUGAUUUUCCUAAAAAUAGCCAUAAUAUUCAAAAUGAAAUUAAUACUAAGAAUUAAGUAAAACCUAGAAUGUUUUCUCAUUCAGGCAUGUCUUCCCUCCUCUGGAGUAGCUUCAAAACACAAGAGGGGUAGCUGAACGUCUGAAGAGCUGGAAUCUGUAAGGAAGUGUGUUCUAACAAAGAGAGGCUCAUAGGUUUAGAGUGUACAUAAAAUGCACACAUAUACAUACAUAUACUCCGUGAUUUUGGGGGUGGUGUUGCUAGGCCUAGCUCUGCUAUCCUAUGUAUUUAUAGAACUUGAUCAUAGGCCAGAACAGCAGGGUAAUUAUAGCAUUAUUAGCAUAUAUGCAAAUCAGGUAACCUAUAUACGCUGAAUGGAGGCAGAUUAUUAUUUAUUUCUUUCCCCCUUUCUCCUUCCCUGGUAUCAGCUCUGGCUCCUCAGAGCUGCACACCAGCAAUUAUCUGACAUUAUAAGAGGGGGUUGUAGCCCUGGAGGAGGGGGCUGAGGGGAGUAGGACAGAAAAAAACCUAGGGGCGGGAGGGUUUUAUCUCAUUUUACUCAAUGUUAUUCUGGGAAGAGUGGGGAGGAGCUCAGUGAGAAGCCUUUGAAUUCACAAAGGCUAAUUCCAGCGGGGGCGGGGGGCAGGAGGGAAGAGACAGAGACCUGAAAACAGAGACAGAUGAAGCCAGAAAAGCUUCGAAGCAAUGACAGAGACAAGAGGGACAGAACUGCAGCUCACAGAGAGUGGGGGAGCCAGAGAUAGAGUCACAAACUCACAUAGAGCAAGGCACAGAGAAUUCAGAUCUGGCAAGAAAAUAAGGAACUGUUUAUUUGGAGUUGGAAGGGAUGAGCUCUCCAGGUUUAUUCGGCAGGGGGCCAGGAUGGGGCCACCCCAUGAUGGUUUAGAGGCUGAGUCUGAGUCUUAAUCCAGAGCCCAUUCCAUAUUAUGAAUCCAUUCUCCUUUUUCCACCACCUAGUCAAUGGCCAUGGGACCCCAAGCAGUGGCUUUUGGUGUGCUCAUGCAUUCAUUCCAACCAACACACGACGAGCAGAAACCACAUGGACAUGGUCCAAUUCUGGACCCUCCUUUCUUCCACCAGGAUUGAGCUGCAAGCCCCUCUUCCUUCCAGGUUAAGCUACCUUCGGUAGGUUCACUCUUAGGCUCCGCAGUCGGAUCUCCACAGGGUGCCUCGGUAUCUAAGGAGUUGCAGCACUGCCUCCCUUUUCGUACUCCAUCCCUCUCUUACUCAGACGUUAUUUAUACCAGAUCCAUAGCUGAGAAGCUGGGACCUUCACAGUUUUUCCUCUAUAUUGUCCCAGGGACUUGCCUCCACUGAGUUGGGUACCUUUGCCUCUGCCUGGCUGGGUGGGAUUCUGCUGGCCCUUAGCACCAAUGAGGCACUGGGGUUCCAGCACUCCCCCAUAUCCUUCUGUCACUCCACUCCCCAGGUCGAUUAAUGGUGUAUGUCUGUUUGACCGACCCCAAAACUAGAUAGAUGCUGGAGAUACCAGCGUAUCCAUCAAGUUUCAAAUGUCUCUCUCCACAUCCCUGCUUGCAAUGUGGCUAUCUAGCUACCUCUAUUUCAAAAAAGCCUUUGCCCAUCUGAGCCAAACUUCAAAUAAGGCAAUAUUGGGGAGAGGUAAGAUUAUUGAAACUGUGGCAGUGUCCAGGGACCCUGAGUGGCAUCAUGAAGAAGGGUCCCAGAAAGAAAUAAAGAGAUAGACACCCAAAGAGGCAGUGGUCAAAAGACUAAAAAGAAACAAGCUUCAAGGCUAUACUUGGAUUUUUAUGCACAAAUGGAAAUUUGCUGUCAUGUAUAUCUAUAUAGACCAGCAAGAUGGAUGGACUUUAUCACUAAUGACCUCUGCAUCUAUGACAUGCUUUUGUAUUUAUAUUUGCUCCUAGGUCUGACUGCUUCUUGUUCUUUCUGGUCAUGUUGUACAGAAUAGUAAAAGAGCUGAAGAGUUAGGGAAAGAAAGACAAAUUGAGCACAGAAAGAAACUGACAGGGGCAGAGACUUAGAGACGGAGACCUGUAAGAGUGAAAGAAAGGUGCUGAGAGGCACCAGAAACCUGGUCAAGGAUAGGGCAGACGCAGAGACUGACAGCCAGCCCCAGGGGCCAGGCUUUCUAUUCUCCAUCCCAUGUUAGAGACCUGGUAUAUAUGGCCCUCCCUCCUGCCUGCUUCUCCUCCAGGCUCCACCAAGAAAUUGGCAAAUAUAUUUUCUACUUCACCAGGCACACUUCUCUGCAAGUGUCAUGGUAUAAUACUCCGGAGUCAUUUGGACAAUAGGUGGGCUUCUCCCUGGGCUGCCCCAUACAGACCUGUCUCCACUCAUCCUGGCCUUCUAGGAUGAGGCUCACCCAGCAUUUCUCUUUUUACCUAUGUACUUUCCUUCUUCUGCAGCUCUCCUGUACAAAAAUUAAGCUCCAAUCCUACGGAACUCUGUGUGUGCACAAAAAUGUCUCUUACUCUUAUAUUUUCUCCUACAAAAUUCAUCUCCCUGACAAUCCAGUUGGACAUCUGUGGCCACACAUUGUCUGCGUCUUGCCGGGCUUGGUUGUCAGGAUCUAUCUGUGUGUACCAUGAACAGGUUUGUGUUUUUACCCAGCAUAGUCUGUGCAUACAGACACCUGCCUGCAGACAGGCUCCAUCCUCCGCCAUGCAGGCCAUGCAGGCCUGGCCACCACUUUUACUGCUUCUGUGGCACCUUCCAGCAAUUCUAAGGACACAGCCCAGACAGCCCUUUACCAUGGGGUUCCCCUCUAAAGCUACCCAAAUCUCCCUUUUCAGUGGCUUGAUUACAUUUCAGGUACAUAUAGUUCUCCCAUAAUCCAGCGUCACCACAAUGCUUUCAUGGCACCAUAUGACCCCCUCUGCCCUGGAAAGGAGACCAGACUUCACCACAGACACAUAGGCUAGUAUUCCAGCUUGAUAACGGUACCCAUGAGCUGGAAAGAGAUUUUCAACUUUACAUCUCCUUAGGUGUAGAUUGGUAUCUAUAUUUGUACACACGUGACAUUUAUUCCUAGAACCAUAUACAUCUCUUCUGCUUGUUUUCACAUAAAUAGCGGUCUCUAUGUGGGUACUGGCCAAAUCCUAGUACCGUGUAUGAUGCAUGUGGCACUGAACACAUACUGGCACAUGUAUGGCAUGUCUGCUUCAUACUCUGUACUGUGGUGCCAUUUCUUGGUGCAGUACUGGUAUCUGCUUCAAAUAGGGUUCUCUAGGUCUGAUGCUCAUUUCUGGGGCUCAGGCUCUUAAAUUUUGGCUGCAUCCCUCAGCUGCACAAGCAGCCAGUGUGGGCGCCCCGGCAACCUCAGUCCAGGUAGAGGUACUGAACUCUGAGUGACCGUGUUUAUAGUUGCUAGGCUACUGCUGUGCCCGCUGGUGAGACCAGGCAGGUCCCCUUCCAGCUGCCCGACACUGGCCUAAGAGUCACCUAGAUGGAUUGAGUUAGGGUUAAAACACCCUGGGGUGGCAGAGUGUUGGCAAGUCUGGGCCCUCUGUGUGCCUCUGGGCCAGGCCAAAACCAGGCUGGAACCUGCCGGCAGGGCCCCCGCAGGCGCCUCUGCCUGCUCUGCGCUCUCGCCCGCGGCAGCGAUUCGGCUCCCGCUUUCGACAAAGUCUCAGCUCCGCAGCGGCACGGGGCGCGGACUCGCUGGGCGCGCGGACAGAGCUCCGGGUGGAACCAGAACCCUCGCACCCUCGCCCGGGCAGAGGCAGGACCCUCGCGCCCUCGCCCGGGCGGGACCACCGCGGGCACCGCCGACGCCAGCCGCAGGGCCGCGGGCGCGCGGGGAAGAGGAAACGAAAGCGCGGGCUCCGGAGCUGAGGCAAGAAGUGAACAGAAAGCGAAAAGAGAAUCCAUCGGAAGCAGAUAAAAAGGAAAAACAAAACCCACUCAAAAAGAAAUAAAACGUUUCAACAAAAGGGAUAAAGUAACGCUAAAUGAAAUAAAAAGGAGACAUACUAAA